AUGGGCAGGUUGAAGGUUGGGUAACACUAACUGGAGGACCGAACCGACUAAUGUUGAAAAAUUAGCGGAUGACUUGUGGCUGGGGGUGAAAGGCCAAUCAAACCGGGAGAUAGCUGGUUCUCCCCGAAAGCUAUUUAGGUAGCGCCUCGUGAAUUCAUCUCCGGGGGUAGAGCACUGUUUCGGCAAGGGGGUCAUCCCGACUUACCAACCCGAUGCAAACUGCGAAUACCGGAGAAUGUUAUCACGGGAGACACACGGCGGGUGCUAACGUCCGUCGUGAAGAGGGAAACAACCCAGACCGCCAGCUAAGGUCCCAAAGUCAUGGUUAAGUGGGAAACGAUGUGGGAAGGCCCAGACAGCCAGGAUGUUGGCUUAGAAGCAGCCAUCAUUUAAAGAAAGCGUAAUAGCUCACUGGUCGAGUCGGCCUGCGCGGAAGAUGUAACGGGGCUAAACCAUGCACCGAAGCUGCGGCAGCGACGCUUAUGCGUUGUUGGGUAGGGGAGCGUUCUGUAAGCCUGUGAAGGUGGCCUGUGAGGGUUGCUGGAGGUAUCAGAAGUGCGAAUGCUGACAUAAGUAACGAUAAAGCGGGUGAAAAGCCCGCUCGCCGGAAGACCAAGGGUUCCUGUCCAACGUUAAUCGGGGCAGGGUGAGUCGACCCCUAAGGCGAGGCCGAAAGGCGUAGUCGAUGGGAAACAGGUUAAUAUUCCUGUACUUGGUGUUACUGCGAAGGGGGGACGGAGAAGGCUAUGUUGGCCGGGCGACGGUUGUCCCGGUUUAAGCGUGUAGGCUGGUUUUCCAGGCAAAUCCGGAAAAUCAAGGCUGAGGCGUGAUGACGAGGCACUACGGUGCUGAAGCGACAAAUGCCCUGCUUCCAGGAAAAGCCUCUAAGCAUCAGGUAACAUUAAAUCGUACCCCAAACCGACACAGGUGGUCAGGUAGAGAAUACCAAGGCGCUUGAGAGAACUCGGGUGAAGGAACUAGGCAAAAUGGUGCCGUAACUUCGGGAGAAGGCACGCUGAUAUGUAGGUGAAGCGACUUGCUCGUGGAGCUGAAAUCAGUCGAAGAUACCAGCUGGCUGCAACUGUUUAUUAAAAACACAGCACUGUGCAAACACGAAAGUGGACGUAUACGGUGUGACGCCUGCCCGGUGCCGGAAGGUUAAUUGAUGGGGUUAGCGGUAACGCGAAGCUCUUGAUCGAAGCCCCGGUAAACGGCGGCCGUAACUAUAACGGUCCUAAGGUAGCGAAAUUCCUUGUCGGGUAAGUUCCGACCUGCACGAAUGGCGUAAUGAUGGCCAGGCUGUCUCCACCCGAGACUCAGUGAAAUUGAACUCGCUGUGAAGAUGCAGUGUACCCGCGGCAAGACGGAAAGACCCCGUGAACCUUUACUAUAGCUUGACACUGAACAUUGAGCCUUGAUGUGUAGGAUAGGUGGGAGGCUUUGAAGUGUGGACGCCAGUCUGCAUGGAGCCGACCUUGAAAUACCACCCUUUAAUGUUUGAUGUUCUAACGUGGGCCCCUUACCGGGGUUGCGGACAGUGUCUGGUGGGUAGUUUGACUGGGGCGGUCUCCUCCUAAAGAGUAACGGAGGAGCACGAAGGUUGGCUAAUCCUGGUCGGACAUCAGGAGGUUAGUGCAAUGGCAUAAGCCAGCUUGACUGCGAGCGUGACGGCGCGAGCAGGUGCGAAAGCAGGUCAUAGUGAUCCGGUGGUUCUGAAUGGAAGGGCCAUCGCUCAACGGAUAAAAGGUACUCCGGGGAUAACAGGCUGAUACCGCCCAAGAGUUCAUAUCGACGGCGGUGUUUGGCACCUCGAUGUCGGCUCAUCACAUCCUGGGGCUGAAGUAGGUCCCAAGGGUAUGGCUGUUCGCCAUUUAAAGUGGUACGCGAGCUGGGUUUAGAACGUCGUGAGACAGUUCGGUCCCUAUCUGCCGUGGGCGCUGGAGAACUGAGGGGGGCUGCUCCUAGUACGAGAGGACCGGAGUGGACGCAUCACUGGUGUUCGGGUUGUCAUGCCAAUGGCACUGCCCGGUAGCUAAAUGCGGAAGAGAUAAGUGCUGAAAGCAUCUAAGCACGAAACUUGCCCCGAGAUGAGUUCUCCCUGACUCCUUGAGAGUCCUGAAGGAACGUUGAAGACGACGACGUUGAUAGGCCGGGUGUGUAAGCGCAGCGAUGCGUUGAGCUAACCGGUACUAAUGAACCGUGAGGCUUAACCUUACAACGCCGAAG
rnacentral:rRNA from 1 species